rnacentral:rRNA from 1 species
GACAGAGGAUGCAAGCGUUAUCCGGAAUGAUUGGGCGUAAAGCGUCUGUAGGUGGCUUUUUAAGUCCGCCGUCAAAUCCCAGGGCUCAACCCUGGACAGGCGGUGGAAACUACCAAGCUGGAGUACGGUAGGGGCAGAGGGAACUUCCGGUGGAGCGGUGAAAUGCGUUGAGAUCGGAAGGAACGCCCGUGGCGAAAGCGAGGUCCUGGACGCCUACUGACGCUGAGACGCGAAAGCCAGGGGAGCGAACGGG